CUUAUAUUUAAUCAAUUUUCUAUGGAAUAGAAAUUGACCGACAUACCUACAAGGAUAACUAAUUCCCCCCAAAUCUGCCAACCACUAAUUUUUAAGUAACGCACUUCAGAUGUCAUUUGAUUUAUAUUUAUUUUGCUUUUUCAAUGACUUUUAUUGUUCGAGAACACCACCGUUAUAUGCCCAAAGGGAUUACAUAGGGCUAUAGUUCCUUGCUGUAGAUGAGAUUUCUCUGUAAGGAAUUGCAGAAUCUCUUCAGACAUGGCGAUCUGUGCAGCUGUCAAAGGAGAAACAAGGAACACAGUUGUCAAAAGAGAAACAACCAACAUCCACCUCUAAGAUGCACAAACAAUGGAUUAACGGGUUUUAUUAUGAUGAUGAAAAAAAAUCUCAUCCAAGCUCUAAACAGGUACAUAUAGAACAACUUAUAUCGAUUUCCCUUUGAUUGUUUGGUAUUAAAUGUAUGAGUUUGUUCUCAUGUGUUAGGUUGUUUCUUUGGAAACUUCCCUUUAUACCCCCUAAUUUGCUUCAACAACUGAUACAAUAAGUGAAGGGUCAGUUCUUUCUAUUUGAUAUUCCCUACAUUUAAAGCUAAUAGUUGUUCAAAGAUCAAAGAAUGAGGUUCACUUCUGGGUUAAAGAAACUGGAUAGACUUUUAGUCAAAAGUCAAAAUUGGAGUUUGAUUCUAUUUUAUGGCUCUUUCGGAUAGAUUGUAAUUGUAUUUGUCAAAACCAGGUACAUUUUAAGAAGUUAUUUAUCAAGUGAAUUGGUAUAAAGAUUUAAAGUGUUCGAUUAUAGUGGAUUGGAUCUUUAUACUUAUGUGCCAGAGUUGAUAUCAUUUGAAUUGUUGGACACAAAGAUGGAAUGGAAUCAUUUUUCUUUUUUCUUUUUCAUUUUUUUUUGUUCGGCUUUCAACAAGGAUUUGCCAUUUUUUUUGUUUUUGGUGUAAAAAAUCCAUUUCUACCGACCGGUGCCAAGAACCCAUACAUCAAGGAUUUUCAUUCUAUUUCAUUUUUCUUUUUUCCUUUUUCGUAAGAAAACAAUCCCAGGUAAAAAAACAAUCGUUCUGUUGUACUUCAAGUUCGGGAGGGUUUAGUAUUUUCGAUGAUUUCUGCAUCUAAGUAACAAUCAAUUUCAGGUUCCAUUUUUUUAUCCGAUCCAAUUCUAAAGUUUUUAUUUCAUACUAGACCUAUCGAUCCCAAUCUUUAAUUUAUUUCAUCUGUGUUUUUAGGUUACGCCUGGAAUUGAGUAAUUUUUUGGUUCGUCAAUUUAAACAGGACAUUGAGAUACCCUAUUGUACGGUCACUUAGGAUUUUGUGUAGGUAUGUUGGAAUGUGAUUUAAGUUUGUGUAAUUUUACGAGGUUGCAGUCAACUUAGUGUCCAAUGGGUUACUUUUUCCAUUAUAAUUGAUGAGUAUUGUCACAUUUUACCAAAUGAGUUGGCUAUUAGUUUAAGCUACAAAGGAGCAACAAAAUAAGAUAUGUAAUCUUUUAUUCUACACAGGACCUGUUAUGUAAGAAAAGAUGUUUACACCAUUUGAAGCUGAAUUGCAGGUCCAAGUUGGUUCUUAUUUCAAGGUUCUAGGGAACGAUUUUAUGCACAGGUGAUAUGUUGGAUGUUUUUAUCUUUUUUAUUUUAUUUUAUUUUAAAAACAGGUGAUAUGUUGGGUGUUGGGUAAAUAUGGAACUGCAGAUGGUAAAUGGUGGCGAGUAUAACAUGUUCACUAUUAAUGAACACCAUUUUGCUUUAUGAAACAUAUUAAUCUAAAUAUAACAUGUUCACUAUUUUUCUAUGAUAAGUGAUAGCUUGAACUCUCUUUGGUGGAUGUCAUCUCAGUUGAUCCAGAUGUACUGAAGGAUUAGGCUGCAUUUCAGGGCAUUAAGAAUACAAGAUGAUGCCAUGCAAUUUGGCAACACAGCUGCAAAUGGUUUCCAUUUUGGAGGUGGUGUGAAGAAAGUCUCAUAGCUCUUCAAGAGACCGCAAAACAAUGAUGAUCCAACAAAAGUUGGAACACCAGAUAUCCCUUCUUCCCAUGUUGGUAUGUUGUUUCUCCUUUGGUGCUAUUUUUUUCUUUUUGACCAUACUUUUGCUGAUCAUCUACUGUUUUGCGCCUCUUCAAGAAUAUAAGGACAAAGAUGGCAGGUUAUUUUUUUGGAAUGUAAAUAUGUCAUCUUUUAUUCUUUUUACAAAUUUAAGCAACAUACUUAUUAUUUUAUCUAUAAUAGCAAUUCAUUAACCACAA